rnacentral:rRNA from 1 species
UGGCAGACGGGUGAGUAACGCGUGGGAACGUACCUUUUGGUUCGGAACAACACAGGGAAACUUGUGCUAAUACCGGAUAAGCCCUUACGGGGAAAGAUUUAUCGCCGAAAGAUCGGCCCGCGUCUGAUUAGCUAGUUGGUGAGGUAACGGCUCACCAAGGCGACGAUCAGUAGCUGGUCUGAGAGGAUGAUCAGCCACAUUGGGACUGAGACACGGCCCAAACUCCUACGGGAGGCAGCAGUGGGGAAUAUUGGACAAUGGGGGCAACCCUGAUCUAGCCAUGCCGCGUGAGUGAUGAAGGCCCUAGGGUUGUAAAGCUCUUUUGUGCGGGAAGAUAAUGACGGUACCGCAAGAAUAAGCCCCGGCUAACUUCGUGCCAGCAGCCGCGGUAAUACGAAGGGGGCUAGCGUUGCUCGGAAUCACUGGGCGUAAAGGGUGCGUAGGCGGGUCUUUAAGUCAGAGGUGAAAGCCUGGAGCUCAACUCCAGAACUGCCUUUGAUACUGAGGAUCUUGAGUUCGGGAGAGGUGAGUGGAACUGCGAGUGUAGAGGUGAAAUUCGUAGAUAUUCGCAAGAACACCAGUGGCGAAGGCGGCUCACUGGCCCGAUACUGACGCUGAGGCACGAAAGCGUGGGGAGCAAACAGGAUUAGAUACCCUGGUAGUCCACGCCGUAACGAUGAAUGCCAGCCGUUGGGAAGUUUACUUUUCAGUGGCGCAGUUAACGCUUUAAGCAUUCCGCCUGGGGAGUACGGUCGCAAGAUUAAAACUCAAGGAAUUGACGGGGGCCCGCACAAGCGGUGGAGCAUGUGGUUUAAUUCG